GAGAGAGAGAGAGAGAGGGAGAGAGAGAGAGAGAGAGAGAUGACACUGACAUUUAUAAUGCUUCAAAGUUCUUCUCAAAUCUUUGGACAAUUCAUCGCUCAAAGAAUCGGUAGGAUUAAGGGGUUGAUUGCUACACACGAAGGCUUGGAGUAGAUUGGUGAUUUUGGAAGAUUCAAGAAGAGUUGAUCGAGUAAAGAUUAUG
rnacentral:lncRNA from 1 species